AGUGAACGCUGGCGGUAGGCCUAACACAUGCAAGUCGAACGGCAGCACAGUAAGAGCUUGCUCUUACGGGUGGCGAGUGGCGGACGGGUGAGGAAUGCAUCGGAAUCUACUUUUUCGUGGGGGAUAACGUAGGGAAACUUACGCUAAUACCGCAUACGACCUACGGGUGAAAGCAGGGGAUCUUCGGACCUUGCGCGAUUGAAUGAGCCGAUGUCGGAUUAGCUAGUUGGCGGGGUAAAGGCCCACCAAGGCGACGAUCCGUAGCUGGUCUGAGAGGAUGAUCAGCCACACUGGAACUGAGACACGGUCCAGACUCCUACGGGAGGCAGCAGUGGGGAAUAAUGGACAAUGGGCGCAAGCCUGAUCCAGCCAUACCGCGUGGGUGAAGAAGGCCUUCGGGUUGUAAAGCCCUUUUGUUGGGAAAGAAAAGCAGCAGGUUAAUACCCCGCUGUUCUGACGGUACCCAAAGAAUAAGCACCGGCUAACUUCGUG
rnacentral:rRNA from 1 species